ACAACAACAUUCGGACCGUCGGUCUACCGAGCAAUAUCACCCGCUCGAUGGAAGAUCUUCCCUUUGUCGUAUAUU
rnacentral:pre_miRNA from 1 species